rnacentral:rRNA from 1 species
AGUGAACGCUGGCGGUAGGCCUAACACAUGCAAGUCGAACGGCAGCACAGUAAGAGCUUGCUCUUACGGUUGGCGAGUGGCGGACGGGUGAGGAAUACAUCGGAAUCUACUUUUUCGUGGGGGAUAACGUAGGGAAACUUACGCUAAUACCGCAUACGACCUACGGGUGAAAGCAGAGGAUCUUCGGACCUUGCGCGAUUGAAUGAGCCGAUGUCGGAUUAGCUAGUUGGCGGGGUAAAGGCCCACCAAGGCGACGAUCCGUAGCUGGUCUGAGAGGAUGAUCAGCCACACUGGAACUGAGACACGGUCCAGACUCCUACGGGAGGCAGCAGUGGGGAAUAUUGGACAAUGGGCGCAAGCCUGAUCCAGCCAUACCGCGUGGGUGAAGAAGGCCUUCGGGUUGUAAAGCCCUUUUGUUGGGAAAGAAAAGCAGCAGAUUAAUACCCCGCUGUUCUGACGGUACCCAAAGAAUAAGCACCGGCUAACUUCGUG